UACGAAUUUGCGCCGCGUGUUUGUGCGGGUAAGCUUAAGUGCAGAAUUUUUUUUGCGCGUUAUGAAAACAAUGCACUGCAGGUAUUUUAAUUAAUGCAACGAGCUGUAUGAAAUAUCGGUCAAGGGGUUGGAAACGUCGUUAUAGAGAAUCCCGACGAUUUUUCUUUCGCGUGUGUGUAUUUGGAGUUGAUUCACAGUUUUAUUUGUUUAUUUUGGCUACAUUGCGCCAAUUGCGCUUCUAUAGAAUAAAGAAACGCGCUUCCACGCGCUUGCCGACUCGAUCGCAAGGGGACAGCCUGAUCAACAUCAAUAUCAGCAGCAAUGGCGGAUUUGCGCUUGCCAUGGCGCUUGCAAAGUUUUCAAUAGUUUUCGACUAUUAAGUGAUGCUUUUGCUAUUUUAACGUGUGGAGGUUCAUUGUACGUCUGUUUUUCAAGUUUGGCAUGUGUUUUAACACAUGUGAAGGUGUAGUCUUUUCUUCUUCAGCGGAUAUUUGUACAAGACCCCGUUCACCGUCUAUCAGCUCUAGCUCGGCAAGAAUAAAGCGGUUCCUUAGAAGUGGUGGAGGUGCUGGGGUUCUGCAUACCAAGGACGUAUAAGUGAAGGUGACUUAAACCGACAACAGCCGAGAAGGUGCAAACAGCACUGCGCUGCCUGGUUCUUGCUGUUGGCCUUUUCUUCUUUUCACAGUGUCCUUACUGUAAGUGCACUCCAGAGUUACAAUGCAGGAAUAUGCAUGUGUGCAUAAGCUUUCAUUCAAGAGUAACUCAUGAUCAUAAGUUAUGUCAUCAUGGUUUCGUACCAUGUCACGGCAUCAUAAGUGAGACAUAAUAAAGAAGCCCUCAAAGUCUGCGGGAGAGACUAAUCUUUUGUGCGAGAUUGUGCUAUCCUUGCUGCACGCAGUGCAAUAUUAUGUGACUCUCAUGUCUAUGGUGGCAUUGUCGAUUAUGAAUGUUUCCUUACUGCGUUAAAAAAAUGUGUAGUGCAUCUUUCAGAUAAUAAUGGCAUUAUAGCUUCAGAGUUGUUCAAGUUUGGGGUACUCGUUCACUAAAAGUACAUUAUCAGAAAAGCUUUAGAAUGUCUAGGUCAUAAUUGCAUUUGAAGAACUAUGUCUCCCUACACAUAGCAAUUGGUAGCUUACUGUGUAAUGUUGAAGGUGGUUUUUAUUCGUAGGCCCUACGCAGAGAGCAGCAACACAAUGCCUGGCAUGUGACCAGGGUUCGUCACAGUGUUUGCAUUUCCAGUGCUCGUAACUGAUUCCAAGCAUAAAUUUGCUUUAUGAAUUCCUUGUAGACAGAAGGUGCUUGAAUAUUGGUUGCAUGAAAUGCUCCAAUGCACACUGUAUAUGUACAGGGUGUCUUUUAUUACCAUACAGAUUUUCUUGUUUUAAAGUUAUGAGCGCAGCAAAUGUGGCAUUCUUGCAGAGGAAUUCCUCUAUUUUGGAACUCCACAAAUUUGGAGGCAGUCACAUUUUAUAGCACUCUCAUUUCUUACAAAUCUUGAAAGUUGCACCUAAUUCAAGAUAUUCAUCAUUGAAUUUCACUGGUAAAUCGAGGCAAUAUGGGAACCGAGUGUGCUGGGAGCACAGAAAAGAAGGUCCCACUACCUCAUCAGAUGGAAACACCCCCGACAACAGGCUCGAGAAAGUCUGAAACAACAUCUUGGCCAGUCAUUGUAGCAGCUGAUACGACACACUUUGCCUGGCAAGCAUGUGCAUCAGUGUGCCGUGUCAGGCUAUCAUUUAAGCUUUGUCCCACACUUCUUGACAGGGCACUGCCGCCUGAUGUGGAGCAGGAUGCACCAAGUUUUGAUUGUACUCAAUUGAGCGCGAUAAUGAAUAUUUCAAAAUAAGUGCAAUUUUCGAGAUUUCGAAAAAGAAAGGGUGUGCGUUCACAUGCGACUGCCUCCAAAUAUGCCAUUUAGAAGGCUGCCGCCAAGUUACUAAUAAAAAAGUGACUGAAUUUUUCAAAAUUAAUUUUCUGAAACUCGCAUUAGCAGCAAAGUGUGUCCUCCUCACCUAGAAACUCCUUUGCAAGAACGACAGGCUCUCUGUGCUCAAAACUUUUUGCUAAAUAUCUGCAUGGUUAAAAAAAAACUAGAUAUGCAUAAUUGUUAAUGUAUGAAAAUCGUACACUAUCACUUUUCAAAAUUUUUGUCCUAUGCAACACCAGAAAAAUUGGAAAUAGAAGCUUCAGGUGACCUAUCUGAUGUGCAAGUUGCAUGGCCAUAUUAUUGUUUUAAUUUUUCGCUAUUACCUUUUACUGUGAUGUCGCCACUGCAGCAGCUCGAUGGCUGUGGCUUUUCAUUCCAGGUCACAAAGCUGCACCCAGGUAGAGGCAGAAUCCAAAAAUGCUUGUGUACUUAAGUAUAGCUAGUCAUGUAGCCCACGAGUUCCAUAUUUUUUAUUGGGAUUGAAGAGUAACGUUUGUGCUGUAUCCCUCUAUUUCAGACUAAAUAAUGUGCAUGCAAAAUUAUAUCUUCAUUACACCAAUAUCUGUUGUGCGUUGAUUUUCUGAUGUCCUUGCAUUUGCUAUAGCAAGGAUUUUUAAAAAUCAGCCACAAAAGAAAAAAUAAAUGGUCAAGGAACGAAGUGGUGUGUAGCAGCUCCCUUUUUUUUAAUCGGCGGCAAGUUUUGCACUCGUGUGUUAGCAACACUGUUUCGCCAGUUGUGUAAUUCAAAAGAAAAGUCACCUUUCUGCUUUGGAACUUUGUGGUUUUGUUCUGCCAGCUGCUUGACCAACACAAGCAAAAUGUACUUUGGAUAUUCCACAAAUUCAUUCUGUAUGCAUCUGGUACAAUAAAAUUUGUUUCAAGAAUGGACAAAUGCAGUGAUGGUUAAUUGAAAACUGCAACAUGCAGAGUUUCAUGCUUCAUUAAUUUUCUCAGCCCCAAAGAAAGCAUGCGAGGUUUGAAAAUGUAUCAUGUGACAUUAGUGCACUCGGUCUAGAGAACUGAUUAAUGCUGCACAUACAUUGAACAUGGUGGCCAUGACCAUCCCUCAUGAAUUGGCAUUCCCUGCCUAAACCACCUCACCAAGACAGCUUGUUAACAGCAAGAAAGCUGAC